GGAGAGGUGCCGGAGUGGUCGAUCGGGGCGGUCUCGAAAACCGUUGUACCGCGUGAGCGGUACCGUGGGUUCGAAUCCCACCCUCUCCGCCA
rnacentral:tRNA from 1 species